AGAUUUCCCAUCAAAUCUAGAACACUCGAUUUGGUGAUAAAUAUUUCAAACUGAAAAUGACUUGAACAAACAAAAUAAAGCGGGAUUAUAGUUGGGAGUAGUGGACUACAUUUUUGGAGCAACUACAAUGUUUGUGUACGUGUUAGAUGAUUCCCCCACCUUCCUCUUCCUCUACUGCACCAUCUUCGUCGUCCUUCUCAUCUUUCUCCUUCUCCUCUUACUCCUCUGCUCCGACCUCGUCCACCUCCUCGCUGCCUUAUCUCCUUGAAAUCAAAUCUUAUUUAUUUUGCUUUUGUUUCUGUUAUUUUUUUUAUCUCUAACUGGGCUGAGCUUUUAAAAUGGAUGAAAGCCCAAACCUGUAAAAGCCUAGCCCAAGUGUUUUCAACCUAAAUCCUAAUAAAGGAGCUCAAAACCUACGCCUUUUUUCAGUGUUGCAAAGGAAGCGCCGUAGGCUGAGAAAAAUUUCUCACUCACCAUGAGAGCCAAGUGGAAGAAGAAGCGUAUGAGGAGAUUAAAGAGGAAGCGCCGAAAGAUGAGACAGAGAUCCAAGUAGUUGACAAUUUAUAAUAUUUUCUAGUUAAGUUUGGUGUCAAUUUCGUUUUGGAUAAUCUCAAUUUGCAACGCUACUUUGCUACCCUGCAUUCGGAUAACCUAUGAAUUACUGUUUUUUAUGGAUUAAUGCCUACUACUUUUGUUUCAUUAUACGUAAAAUUGGUGGUUAUUGCUUUUGAUAUUAUUUAUUUUAUUCUGCUGUACGAUGUUUGCAGAAUACGAUUUCAGGCUCAUAUUAGAAUCAGUGGUUUAGAGUUGGUUUUGUUUCCAGUAUUACUUGUUUCUUCUAGUGCUGUAGAUUGGCUAUUCGCUUUCCUGUAUCUCUGAGGAUGCAAUAACAUCUACGAUUACUGUUUGGAAAUAUGUGGCAUUGCAGUUUUUGUUGCCUUCCUUGGGAAAAUAAUAGUAUUAAUAUAAAGGAACAUUCAGAAAUUCCGUUAGCACAUUUAAGUCAUUAUGUUUUGGAGUAUUGUGUUAGAUCUUCUUCAAUUUCUUUUCAUUUUAUAUUCCAAAUUUCCUCAUAAUUUCGCCAUUUUGUCUUCCUAAUUCCACCAUCUCUGGCUAUCCUAAAUAAUUCGGACCGGAGCUUCCAUAACUUAUUUUAAUAGGAAUUUAUCUAAACGUUUACAUUUGGGAUCUAAACAGCAUGCCAUGAUUUCGAAUGACUACUUGACACACUCCUUGUCUCAUUGUUUUGGCUCAUAUACUGUUGUGUACUGGCGCAUACUGCAAAUUUGUUACUAUAUACCAAAAAUUAUGAUAAACAUCAUAAUCUUGUAUAUAGCAGUAUUGAUAUAUACCAUUAAUAUACUAUCUUAGGGGAAAGUUGAAGCCCUAACUCACAGUCAUGUUCUUCAAAGACUUUAGUGCCUCCACCCUACCUUGACUCUCCUUCUACACCCACCUCCAGCCAGGCAACAAUAGUUGUCCUCCUCCAGCCACCUUCGUUAUCCUUUUCAAUCCCGUUGACUAGAAUGCCUCAUCUAUUGUGGUUUUUUAUAUUAGGUCGACUGGAACAAGAUUGUCAAGUUAGUUUGCUUUGUUGCAGAAUCAGUCAGCUAGUUGGAUAUAUUUGAAAUGGCUGCUCCAUAUUUAGGUGAUGGGAUGUUGCGAGUCCCAGUCUGUUAUGUGUUUCCCUUCUCAGUCCGUGUGCAUUUCAUUUGAUUAUCAUUGAUUAAAUAGAUCAUCGACUCCAUUCCUAUUCUGGGAUUGCUGCGAUCUUCUCCCAGGGAGAGUUUGUGACCUGAGCUUGAGAGUCGUUUUUAAAAGUAAAUGGAGAUUUGGCAGCAUUAAUUUCGUGGAGUGGUUCACAUGUACAAAUAUAUGGGAUCAGUUGAACGUGCAUAAGUCAGGGUCCCCAGCUCCAACUAGGUUUUCUGCUAUCCAACAUCGUCUCUUACUGAGGGAAAUGCUGAGGACAUUCCUUACUCAGUAUGGUAAUCUGCUCGAUCAAGAUGUUAGAGAAGUAGAGGAUGUCUUGCCCGUAGAUGAUGUUAAGGAGGGAAAAUUUGUGGUCCAUACACUCGAUGAUGACACUUUGAGGAGGUCAGUUGUGGAGCUGAGUUACCUAUCUAACCCAGGAUUUCUGAAGCUGUUAGAGCAAGCGGAGCAAGAGUUUGGUGUUGGACAGAUGGGCAUUCUCGGCAUUCCAUGCACACAUAAUCAUCUUCAUUCUGUAAUUGGGAGAAAGUGAAGAGUUAUCUACGUAUAUUUCACGGAUUUGUAUGUGUAUCUUGUCCAAGGUUUUCUAAUUCUAGUUAUCAAUCGGUGUGUACAAAUAAUCAAUUAAGAAAUUUACGUAGUACUCUAUUAUAUUCAAAA